UUCCUUUUUAUUGGGAAACGUGUGAAGAAGUGGACCUUCAAUUUCAAUUUUGUUUUUGCUGCUGGUCUGCUGGCUUGCAUUGGUCGUACUUUUUUGAAUGGCCAGUAAACAAUAUUUUAAGAAAAAUGAAAGCAAUUGAGAAAUCGAUAGCAAGCCUUGAGGGAAUUAAUUACACUGAUAAUGUGGAUGCUGCAGACAAUAUUACCUGACAGCUUGGAAUGAUUACUUGCUUAUGAAAUAUGAGAAUUCAUUACACUGAUAAUGUAGAUGCAUUGGAUGUUGCACACAGAAUCGAUAGCAUGCCGUGCGGCCGGAAAUGUGAUUUUUUUUUUCGUGAGACAAGCAUGUGACAUGGCUCACCAACAUUACGAGAAAGUUUGCCUCAUGUAACACAUAAGAUUCUUCAUUUACCUAAGCAGCCACGAAAGAACGCAGAUAGCUUAGUAGUACGGAAAUGAUUUAAAGAAAAUAAAAAGAUGCCUAUAGAUUGAAGGCUAUCAAGGCGCAUUAGUUGGCAACUCCGCCUGUGACGCCGACCAUCUUUGAAUUUCUCCAGGAGUCAUUCUCCCACUUAAGCUGGCGACAUUUAGCAGACCUUCAACCAUGUAAAGUUUCUUUACACAGAGGCAUCGCUCAGCAGCAUAUUGUUAGUCGUUGCUUAUAGGAUAUUCUUGGAAAAUUUUGCAAAGCAAACAAAGCUUGCUAUGACAAGGUUUAUUUAAAGGAGUGAUGCGCUGGUUUACUUUCACCUUACAAAAAUGUGAUUCUACCCCAGUUUGUACAGGUUCGAGCGUUUAUGGAAAACCGCGUUUAUAGAAAGCCUCAUUUGAUUUGACAACAAAAAGCUGUGUUUUCGAGAACAAAAUGUAGCCUGUUACUGAUAUAGAAAAAUUUUUUAAAAUCUUUAAUAAAAUAUAAAAUAAUAAA